CCCACUUCUGAACCUUUCCCUCUUUCUGAAUGGGUUAGGAACUGUGGAUUGCGAGUGUACAGUCUGAGACUAAAGUUGUGUCAAGGUUUUGUCCGAUUAUGAAAUGUAACGCGUGAAACAUUAUGAACAUCCGAAUGUAGAUAAAUGCUAGGUGCUGGCAAGCCUGAAUCGUUUAAGCUGCAGUUCAGAUAGCGGUUCAGUGCUUCACAUCUGCCACUGUUGAGAUAAUGACCAAAGCAAACCAAGGGAAUUAAAAAGUUUCCGAAGAUUUACUGUGUCGGUUCCAUAUUCGGUGCGGAAUGCGUUGUCUUACAAUUCAGGAAAUAUAUUGAUCAUCAAGUUUGCUUCAGACAUUGCUUCAAAGAGAUUAAUGGUUCGAAAGGACAAAGAAACGCCACACUCGGGAGGAUGUGAGCUAUAAUGACGUAUGAGGUGUGGCAAACACAGAUGCCUAAGUGCUACCGACCGUCUGUAUGACAUGCGGCAGACAACGCCAUAAGCAUCAUAAGCCCGGGAGGAUAGCGACUGUAAGAAAAGGGCUUAUUAGAAACAUCCUGUUGGCUUUCAAACUUCAGCUGCUUCACACAUUUUAGUUGCAAGAGAUUGGAUGAUUGAGGAGUGUCAUCCAUCCAGUGACACAACAACACACUUAAGUGUAAGACAGCUGGAGAUGAAGUAAUGUGUGUGCCUCAACCUUCUCUUGGUGCAUCCUGUUCAGUUCUCAAGCCACAAGUGAAGAGAAAUUGUCAUGGCAGUUCAUGCUGUAUUGUUCUGGCACUUCUUGCUGUUGCUGGUUGGUGCUAGUACUAUUGCUAUGCUUUUCACAUGCAUCAUAUUUUCACAUGCAUCAUAGCAGUUCAUGCUGUAGCUGGCAGGUGAUGGUGCAGCUUCUUUGUUUUUCUCAUUUAUCAGAAACUGUGUAACUCAUAAAUGUAACAUUUUGUUAUUACAGCAGGUCUCUCUGGCCACUCAUGAUAACAACAACUGACUGUAUGAGGACCAGUGUUAUGGAUUGUUAAGGUUUGGACAUGAGGAUAUUGCUUUCAGAUUCAAGUAACAUAAAUUCUGAUUUGAUGACUUAACAGUUUUACUUUUUUUCUUUGUAUAAAUUCAGUAAAAUUAUAAAAUAUUCUGCAUGCACAGUAAACUCUAAUUUAAUUGUAUUUUAUAAGUCCCAAGUUAAAUGAUGCCUCUGAUACACAGCCAUUUCUGCAGAGGCUUACCACAUCAUGCAAUCUGAGUGCCAUAGAACAGUAAUUGUCAUGUAUCCCACUUUUCUCCUAUCAAACUGGAAAAUGGAAGGCCGUACACCAUCCUUUUUUGUUUCAGUCUUAGUCAGGUUGUUAUUCCUCUCAUUCUUACCUUUGGCACUUUGUGGUGUAAUUCAUUAGUCUGCUUGCUUUGAACCAAUCCAUAAAUCAGUCAUCAAUUAGUUAUUCAUAUCCUUACCAUAGUAGUUGUUUUCAUUAUCUGCUGGCAAUUAAAGGGUGCAAAAGGAUGUGCUGCAUACAUUUAUGACAUUAUUGCAUAAUCUGAGUGGGAGGAGCAUCUGGCAUUGUUGCAGAAAGUGUUAAAGAACCUUGAUGAUACAUUGUACAUUAAUAGAAAGUAAUUUUAUUUUGGCUUACAUAAAACAGGAAUAAGCAUCUGGAAUUGCUACAGAAAUUGUUAAAGAAUCUCAGUGAUGCAAAUAUCAUUGUAAAUUAAUGGAAAAUUAUUUUUUAAGGCUUACAUAAAACAUUUUGGCCAUGAAAUGGAUCAAGAUGUUCAUCUAUUAGAUGUGAAGCUGAUGGAUGUUGCAAGAUACCCUUCUUCAUCAAGCAAUGAGGAAUUGUUGAAAUUUCUAGUAUACUACAAGCUACUAUAGACUUUUAAGUAGAUCUUUUAUCAUGAUAUUCCCAUUGAUUAGACUGCCUGAGAAGGUGAAGUCUGCCUGGAGUGAGCACUGUGAAGAUGUUUUGAGGAAACUAAGGGUUUGGUGGUUAGUGUUGCCUUACUGAUCAUGCCAGAUUGUAGGAAAAAUUUAAAUUGUUCAUAGAUGUCAAUGGAGACAGUAUAGGAGGAGUACUGAUGCAUGAAUUGGUACGUGUUGAUCAUCCUAUUGGAUAUUAUUCUGAGACAUUUAUCUUCUUAAAGGAAUUAUAGUACCAUAGAGAAAAGAAACUAUGGCAUUGACCUUUGCAUUUUGGUAUAUAUGUUAGAGGAGCUGCAUUAACUAUGAAGGUCUUUACAGAUCAUUACCCACCUUAGUUUUCUUGAGUAGCCUCAGAAAUUAUGUGAUAGUGUCUGCUGCUGCAGGACUAUGAUAUUGGUAUUUUUCACAUAAGAGGGAAGAAAAUAUUACAGCAGAUGCACCCUCUUGGAUUCCAUGAAAAAGUGAGUCAUCCUGUGGGAGGAUGGAAUGGGUGUGAUAAGUACCCUGGCUGACCACUCCUCCCAUAACUGGAGGUAACCACAGGAAGGAUGGUGACUGGCAACUAGCAUGUUAGUUUAUUGCUGUUAUGUGUAAGAUGGGAUGACUGGAGUUGUUGGCUCAUUUGCUGUAUUCCACAGUGCAUGUGUAGAGUAUGGCAUACAUUGUUUUGCUGUAUUGGGGGAGGUAGAGCGAGUGGCUUGUUCAAAUGAAUGCCCAGGACUUAUUGGCCUUGACUCCAGUAGGACUUCCCAGGAUGUAAUUAAUCAUCUCUUAGUAAAAAGGUAAAUUUACAGUAUAACUGCCCAAGGGAAGUGUUAUUCACUGCAGGACUAUCAUUGUGGCAGAUCAAGGAAGCUUAAGACUUUUUAGCUUCCUUGGAGUGGGUAGAGGUGACACUAACAGGCAGUGAGCAGUGUGGCAGUUGACGUGCUGUCCAUAUCCUCAGCUCUCAUGAGCUACAUCAUUGUCUGUGUUGUUUACUGCCUUGUUGGUUGACUUAUUCAUUUAGGGAAGCAAGACAGCUGUGAAGGGAAGGUGCUAAGUGUGUGUAUUACAAGGAUUCUAAACAACACUGAUCACUUUGAAAACUUAGAGCCCAUAUGGAUAGAUAGUCUGUUUUUUUUAUGUAUUCAUUUUUAUUUAUUUAUCUAUUUAUUUAUUUAAUUAAUUAAUUAAUUUAUUUAUUUUCAUUUUUUUGUUAAGAGCGAUAUUGGUUAGGGCAACACAAAGGAAGGUAAAGCUGGCCCACUGAGUUUCAAGUCCCUAAAGAGAAAGCCAAAAGGAUUAUUCAAAAUUGGAAGAUAAAUGAUAGCUUCCUCUUGAAAGACUUCAAGUCAUAAGAUGCAUGCUAAAUGUACAGAAAGUCAGAUAAAUAUAAACAAAUUAUGUAAUAGAUGAUUA